CAGUAGCCACGGUAAUACGUAGGUGGCAAGCGUUGUCCGGAAUUAUUGGGCGUAAAGGGCUCGCAGGCGGUUUCUUAAGUCUGUUGUGAAAUCCCCGGGCUCAACCUGGGAAUGGCAAUGGAUACUGGAUAGCUAGAGUGUGUCAGAGGAUGGUGGAAUUCCCGGUGUAGCGGUGAAAUGCGUAGAGAUCGGGAGGAACAUCAGUGGCGAAGGCGGCCAUCUGGGACAACACUGACGCUGAAGCACGAAAGCGUGGGGAGCAAACAGGAUUAGAUACCCCUGUAGUCCCUGUCUCUUAUAC
rnacentral:rRNA from 1 species